rnacentral:rRNA from 1 species
GAUGAACGCUGGCGGCGUGCUUAACACAUGCAAGUCGAACGGACUUUUAAUGAAGCCUAGCGAUUUAAAAGUUAGUGGCGGACGGGUGAGUAACGCGUGGGUAACCUGCCGUAUACAGGGGGAUAACAGUUAGAAAUAGCUGCUAAUACCGCAUAAGCGCACAGCUUCGCAUGAAGCAGUGUGAAAAACUCCGGUGGUAUACGAUGGACCCGCGUCUGAUUAGCUAGUUGGUGGGGUAACGGCCUACCAAGUCGACGAUCGGUAGCCGAACUGAGAGGUUGAUCGGCCGCAUUGGGACUGAGACACGGCCCAGACUCCUACGGGAGGCAGCAGUGGGGGAUAUUGCACAAUGGAGGGAACUCUGAUGCAGCAACGCCGCGUGAGGGAAGAAGGUCUUCGGAUUGUAAACCUAAGUUAUCAGGGACGAUUAUGACGGUACCUGAAGAGAAAGCUCCGGCUAACUACGUG